CGGUGACCUCCGUGCGGCCGGGUGCGGGCGGAGUCUUCCUCGAUCCCGUGGUGCUCCGCGGCGCGGCCUUACUCUCUUCCGGUCGCGGGACACCGGGUGUAGAGGGCGGUCGCGGCGGGCAGUGGCGGCAGAAUGUUGGCUACCAGGGUAUUUAGCCUAGUUGGCAAGCGAGCAAUUUCCACCUCUGUGUGUGUACGAGCUCAUGAAAGUGUUGUGAAGAGCGAAGACUUUUCGCUCCCAGCUUAUAUGGAUCGGCGUGACCACCCCUUGCCGGAGGUGGCCCAUGUCAAGCACCUGUCUGCCAGCCAGAAGGCCUUGAAGGAGAAGGAGAAGGCCUCCUGGAGCAGCCUCUCCAUGGAUGAGAAAGUCGAGUGUGGGUAUUGAAGGGACCCACAGGCGCGCCCAGCAGCUCUCAGAAGUGUGUGUGUGACAGAGCCUCUGCUCACUUCUGGGCCUACUGUCUAGAGAGCAGUCUUGCACAGGAGGGUUGCUCUGCUGGGUUUCGGGGUCACUGUCCCAGGGCCCUAGUUUAUGUGCUCACCAGUCACUUAGCUCUGCCAGCUGACAGGAUCUUUUGCUAGGCCCCCUUCUCUGUGCUGAGUGGAGGUACCCUCUCAGCAUAUCUGCUGGGUAAGACAUUGUUAACUGUAAAUUAUUGAAAGAAACUCAGCAAAAUGCAUAGUGUUUGGUAUGAAAGGGGCAGAAAAAUAACAAGAUUAAAUAGACCCUAAUACUGUAAUUCAAGUAAGAAAUAAUUUUGCAGUUUUAAUUUGCACCUGAAGCGAACUGUAUGCAUUUUCUUCCUUCCUUGCCCUGUCACAUGCCUGCGUGGGCACGUGUGUGCACGUACGUGCAUGAACAUGAUGUGGCCUGGGUUGGUGUAUCCUUCAGCUCUGUGUUUCCUCCUUCACAAGUGUGGUUUUGGGGAGAAGUGGUUGAAUGUUGCAGAGGAGGGAGCUGCUGACCUUUGUGCCUGUAAAUGGCUGUCCUCUCUGCCCCCAGUGUAUCGCAUUAAGUUCAAGGAGAGCUUUGCUGAGAUGAACAGGGGCUCGAACGAGUGGAAGACGGUUGUGGGCGGUGCCAUGUUCUUCAUCGGUUUCACCGCGCUCGUUAUCAUGUGGCAGAAGCACUAUGGUGAGUAGAGAGGGAGGAAGGCAUGGGCGCCUGGACUGGGGCUCCAGCCUGCAGUGCCCAUUGGUGGGCUGCGGGGGACCUCCACACCCUGAGGCCAUGAGAUAGGGACUGCAUUCCAGAGUUCAUCUCAGGAUUGUUUCCAGGCCUUGGUGACCUGGAGAACUGAAGUCGUGGGAGGUUAGUUUAUAAGCCAGCAUCUGAUUAUUCAUAGCCAUGCUUGUUGGGUGGUGAAAUACCUUAACUACUUUGUACGGCACACCAUGUUUUCAGGAGCAAUUUAUGUGCUCGCCAGUCACUUAGCAAAAGAUGACUUCGUGAAGGUUCGAGCAAGGAUAAGGGGACUCAUUCAUUUAAUGACUGUCUCGACUGUUGUGAGGACUGCAUCUCAACAGCCUGCAUCUGGGGGUCCCGACCUGAUAGUUUGUGUGUGGGCAUUGCCGGGUUGCUCGCUCGUGGUAAUGACUCUUCCCCGAGGUUCUUUCUGUCCAGGCAGAACAGGCAUUUUUGCAUUCUGAAUAGGUAUAUUCUCGUACUUUUGGUUUGAAUGUGGAUGUGGGUUAAUAACAGACCCGAAUCUAUUUGAUCUUCCAGGUCACCUUGGGCUCUGUUUGUCAGAUCCUGUUAUCCAUAGCCUUUAGAGAAGACCUUCUGCUUUUAGCUUAUUUUGUUGCUAACUUUUUACAAACAAAGGGCUAAUUUUAAAAUGUCAGUGUUGUCAGUGGUCAGAAACCGUGUGUUUGAGCGGGUGUUGAGUGGCAGGUGGCUCUGCUGACCUGGUGGCUGGUGUGUUGGGAGGAUUUAACCUGUGUGAGGGAUUGGCCUAGAAACAACCUGUUGAGAUAGUCUUGCCCCAUAACCUGUCUCACACCAUAGUGUACGGCCCCCUCCCGCAAAGCUUUGACAAAGAGUGGGUGGCCAAGCAGACCAAGAGGAUGCUGGACAUGAAGGUGAACCCCAUCCAGGGCUUAGCCUCCAAGUGGGACUACGAAAAGAACGAGUGGAAGAAGUGAGAGAUGCUGGCCUGCGCCUGCACCUGCGCCUGGCUCUGUCACCGCCAUGCAACUCCAUGCCUAUUUACUGGAAACCUGUUAUGCCAAACAGUUGUACCACUGCUAAUAAAUGACCAGUUUACCUGAAA
rnacentral:sRNA from 1 species